GCCUUCUUGGCUCAGUUGGCUAGAGCGCAGGUCUCAUACUUUCGUGUGAUCAAGCGAUGGCUUGAGUAAUCCUGAGGUCGCAAGUUCGAGCCUUGCAGAGGGCA
rnacentral:tRNA from 1 species